rnacentral:rRNA from 1 species
AGCAGCCGCGGUAAUUCCAGCUCCAAUAGCGUAUAUUAAAGUUGUUGCAGUUAAAAAGCUCGUAGUUGAAUUUCGGAAUCGACGGAUUGGUCGCGCCUUCGGUGUGUACUGGUCUUGCCGGUUUCUCCCUUCUGACGAACCACGAUGUCAUUAAUUUGGUGUCGUGGGGAAUCAGGACUGUUACUUUGAAAAAAUUAGAGUGUUUAAAGCAGGCAUUAGCUUGAAUACAUUAGCAUGGAAUAAUGAAAUAGGACGUUUGAUCUUAUUUUGUUGGUUUCUAGGAUCGACGUAAUGAUUAAUAGGGAUAGUUGGGGGCAUUAGUAUUCAAUUGUCAGAGGUGAAAUUCUUGGAUUUAUUGAAGACUAACUACUGCGAAAGCAUUUGCCAAGGAUGUUUUCAUUAAUCAAGAACGAAAGUUAGGGGAUCGAAGACGAUCAGAUACCGUCGUAGUCUUAACCAUAAACUAUGCCGACUAGGGAUCGGAUGAUGUUAAUUUUUUAAUGACUCAUUCGGCGCCUUACG